AGCCUUGUAGCUCAGUUGGCUAAAGCGUUGGCUUUACUAAAACCUUUCCCUUACUGACGUGGGUUCGAAUCCCACCGAGGUCA
rnacentral:tRNA from 1 species